UACGUAGGGAGCAAGCGUUGUUCGGAUUUACUGGGCGUAAAGGGCGCGUAGGCGGCGCGACAAGUCACUUGUGAAAUCUCCGGGCUUAACUCGGAACGGUCGAGUGAAACGGUCAUGCUAGAGUGCAGAAGGGGCAAUCGGAAUUCUUGGUGUAGCGGUGAAAUGCGUAGAUAUCAAGAGGAACACCUGAGGUGAAGACGGGUUGCUGGGCUGACACUGACGCUGAGGCGCGAAAGCCAGGGGAGCAAACGGG
rnacentral:rRNA from 1 species